GAUGGAAGAGAUCUCAUCUUGUCUCCAGUCGCUUAUGAUUACUUUGAGUCAAACACAAUCUGCCAGGGAAAAUGGCCUGUUCAAGAAAAUGCCACUUCAGAGAGAAAUCAGAAUAAAGAAGGGGGUUUCCAAGGAGCGUUUUGUUUUCCUGAAAAGAGAAAGAGACAAUGAAUGGGAACAAGAAAGAAAGAGACUAAAGGUGGGAGUAAGCCUAGGAGGAAUGGAAAAAAAAAUUAAUAGUGAGGAGAUCAGAACCUUCAUGAUUCUUACAGCGACUGGAAUAUCAAGUCCCUCCCUCCCUACUGCUGUGGCAUCUGCCUCCCCCUCCCCCUUAUUCCAUUCAUGAAAGAGACUCACUUUGCACCAUGCUGGGUUCAGCUUGUCCAUUAUAUUAACUCUUUAUGCUGCUUAGAAUUGAAAUAGAAAGGAAAAUAAAGCUUCCCAGGUCUUCUGAAUUUUUGACCA
ensembl:lncRNA